GGGGGGGGGGUGGGUUAGAAAGAAAAUUCAUGUCUUCGUUUUCCCGCGCCAGCGAAAGCGAAAACCCUAGAAAAUGGCGAUUCACCUGGGAAGCAGUGGGUUACGUCCCAACUCUGCGGUUGUUCCUCUUCAAUCCGAAGAUCCAACCUAUUUAUUAUUGCAAGAAUCUGAAAGUCCUGAUGAUUCUCGAGGAGUCUCUUCUCCUUGUGAAUUGGACUGAACAAGUCCAAGAUCAGAGUGGUUCUGUCGAUUUUUCACUUAGGGUUCCGCUUCCUAAGGUUUUGGUUGAUCCCUGCUCCCCCAUCGAUUUCAAAGCAACAGAGGAUCAUGUCGAAGUGAAGCUCGUUUUGCUCCUUCCGGUUGAUCACCCCGUAGUCGCAACCCUUGAUUCAGUACUAAACUUGUCACCAGACGCUUCUGCUCAAGAAAAUGUGUGUUCAGAUAGGCUGCAGCCACUAUCUAUGGAUUCUGACCUAAAGAGUUUGUCAUCUAGCAAAGGGGUGCACUUUUACUGCAAGAGUUGUUCAACUCAGUUAACAAGAAGGCCUCUAACAUCCUUUGUGGAAAUGCCAUCGGUCGAUUGGAGAGAAGUUGCUGACAACUGGUUUGGAGCCUGCUGCUGUUCAUUUGGAGGUGUAAGUGAGAAGCUGGUCUCUGAGUAUGUCAGUUUGUACAGUUGCACAGUGGGUACAUGCCUAGUAGAUGUGGCAUCUGUUAUGGUUUGCAAGAGUGACCUCAUGGGAUAUGUAUUCCCUGACCAUUCAGCUGGAAGCAGAAAACAAGAAUCUGAACUUGGUCUUGAUGGUGGAAAGGAUUUCCCUGAAACUGGGACUGGUGAUGGUAUUAGAUGUAGUCAAGAAUUGUUUUUUGAAAGUCAAACUGAGAGAGUGUCUGAUGUAAAAGUGGAUGUUGCCAAAAAGGGCGAUGAUGCUGAUUCUUCAUUUGUUACCUCUUCUUCGAUUUCAGAUUUCUCAGACAAUGUGACAUCAGCAAGUGAAUUUUCUGCGAAGGAUCAGAUUGAUUAUUGCGCAGAUAAAAUAAGUUAUCUAAAUCAUGAUCAGGAAUGUUGCUUACACAGUAUCUCUGUGACAAGUUCAAAUGCUGAAGACCAACAGUCCAUCAAAAGUAGUGAUCUUAUGGAAAAUCAGAAACUGCUUCUUAAUGGAUUUCUUGGAAAUGGUUUCAUGAUGAGGUCCUCUAAUCUUUCUAAAGAUGUCAAGUGGAUUGAAUUUCGAUGCAUAAAGUGUUCAUGUCUACUUGGAGCAUAUCCUUAUAUUAAUGGUGAUGAUGCACCCCUAGAUGGUGGCAUUCGGUUGUUCAAGUGUUACAUUUCCACUGGUUUGCCUGCUGGUGUUUCAGGUAAUUUAUUCAGGAAUAAUACCUUCGAAAGAAUGUUUGCUUCUCAGCUUGUGGAAAAUGCAACAAAUGAAUUAUCAUUCAGAACAGUGGUGAGGGACCUGAAAACCAAAGCCCCUGUCCUUCGGAUUGUCCUCCUAAAUCCAGAUGCCUGGUGUUAUACUGGAUAUUGUGUGGAAACAAUGGGCCACAUUGGACCCACUUCAAAGGUAGAUCUGCAGCCUGUCAUAAAGGUGCUAUUUUCUAGCUGUAUCGACUCUACAAAAGAUCAAUCAAGGAUGAUAGAAGAGUGGGCAGCCAAGAACCAAGCAGAUGAGGUUUACAUGUUUGCCCACCAAAUAAAAGAAGUAACUAAAUCCAUGAAAUCUGCUCAGGAAUUUUUCCCAUUUUCAUGCUCUCUUCUGCAGGAUUUCUGUUUGUCCUUCAUAGAAAGGUAACAGGAAUUCUUUGCUACCCUUCUUCAAAAAACAUUCUUUCAUAUUACCAGAAGUCCCCUCAGAUCCAUGUUUGAAAUGGGGGAUCCAGAUCUCAUUCCUAGUGAAUAUCUCAAACCUAGAGUCAUUUCAUGAAGAAGCUGUAGUUUGCAAAGAUCUCAAGUCCAUUGCUACGUUUGUCUUAGCCUGUGUGCUCAUGUCAGUUUGCCUCAAAACAACAGGAAGCUUUUUGCUGUGUUAAUGCAAUAGGUGCACAGCUAGCAGAAACAUGAUCUGAGGAGGAUAUGGUGGGUAAAAUUUGGGUUAUAUGCAUCUUGUUGCUGGUGCAUCGGAAGGAAGAGGAGGGGCAUAGUUUUGGAUUUGUGAUUUUGUGCUGGUAGCCUUUGAUUGUACGACUGAAAUACCAAGAUAGGUAUUGGCAGAACUUGGUGGUUCGGGGUACAAAGUUGAGAUUCCCUGAAAUGUACAGUGCCGAGAGGAGGGAGGGUUGGGUGAAUUGUUUGAAUCAUAUUCUCAAAAGAUGGGCUGAUCCCCAAUUUGGAGUGCCUUUUGCUGAAUCUGGAUUAGGGAUUCAAUAGUGGUCAAGUCCAAUCCUUAAUGAGGAUAAUCAAGAACUUUGGAUCAGAAUAGGUGUACUCCAGAAAGCAGAUUAUUCAAGGGGAUAGCUGUUUUUCCAUAUUGGAUCUUGCAUUCAUUGAUGGAUCGGGAUACUGGACCUAGUCCAACUUGGCUUGGAUGGUUGUUGGACGUUGCAGUGAGGAAAGUUAUGGUGCUAUGAAGUUGUCUUUGCAAUAGUUUCUGAUCAUUUAUCCAAAAUUUAAAUUUGGUUUAGGUUGGAUUUUUUUCUUGCAGAAGAAUAGGACCAAGUACUGCUGGAUAAGAGUUCUGUUUGUAUCAGAAGAUGUAGAUGUAUUUUUCGUUGGUCUCGGAAUAGAUAUAUCAUUUGUCCACAUGGCUGAACAGCUGCCUUGUGACAUUUGGAAAAUAGCAAAUCUUUGUGAUAAUAAUAAUUUAUUAUCAUAAAGUAAUUCCGUUUUUUAUUUCCAA